UACGUAGGGUGCAAGCGUUGUCCGGAAUUAUUGGGCGUAAAGAGCUCGUAGGCGGUUUGUCGCGUCUGCUGUGAAAACCCGAGGCUCAACCUCGGGCCUGCAGUGGGUACGGGCAGACUAGAGUGCGGCAGGGGAGAUUGGAAUUCCUGGUGUAGCGGUGGAAUGCGCAGAUAUCAGGAGGAACACCCGUGGCGAAGGCGGCUCUCUGGGACGGUACUGACACUGAGACGCGAAAGCGUGGGGAGCGAACAGG
rnacentral:rRNA from 1 species